GCUGUGGUAGCUCAGUGGUUAAGAGCACUGGACUGCCCUUCUGGAGGGCCUAAGUUCAAUCCUCAGCUCACAACC
rnacentral:tRNA from 1 species